UACGUAGGGGGCAAGCGUUGUCCGGAUUUAUUGGGCGUAAAGGGCGCGUGGGCGGUGCCACAAGUCACCUGUGAAAUCUCCGGGCUUAACUCGGAGCCUGCAGGCGAAACUGUGGUGCUGGAGUGUGGGAGAGGUGCGUGGAAUUCCUGGUGUAGCGGUGAAAUGCGUAGAUAUCAGGAGGAACACCUGUGGUGUAGACAGCUUUCUGGACCAUUGCUGACGCUGAGACACGAAAGCGUGGGUAGCAAACAGG
rnacentral:rRNA from 1 species